rnacentral:rRNA from 1 species
AGUGAACGCUGGCGGCAGGCCUAAUACAUGCAAGUCGAACGGCAGCACAGCAGAGCUUGCUCUGUGGGUGGCGAGUGGCGGACGGGUGAGGAAUACGUGGGAAUCUGCCCAGUCGUGGGGGAUAACGUAGGGAAACUUACGCUAAUACCGCAUGCGCCCUUCGGGGAAAGCCGGGGACCUUCGGGCCUGGCGCGAUUGGAUGAGCCCACGUCGGAUUAGCUAGUUGGCGGGGUAAAGGCCCACCAAGGCGACGAUCCGUAGCUGGUCUGAGAGGAUGAUCAGCCACACUGGAACUGAGACACGGUCCAGACUCCUACGGGAGGCAGCAGUAGGGAAUAUUGGACAAUGGGCGCAAGCCUGAUCCAGCCAUGCCGCGUGAGUGAAGAAGGCCCUCGGGUUGUAAAGCUCUUUUGUCCGGAAAGAAAAGACGCCGGGUUAAUACCCUGGUGUCCUGACGGUACCGGAAGAAUAAGCACCGGCUAACUUCGUGCCAGCAGCCGCGGU